GCAACUCGACUACAUGAAGCUGGAAUCGCUAGUAAUCGCGAAUCAGAAUGUCGCGGUGAAUACGUUCCCGGGUCUUGUACACACCGCCCGUCACACCAUGGGAGUUGGGAAUGCCCGAAGCCGGUGACCUAACCGAAAGGGAGGAGCCGUCGAAGGCAGGUCUGAUAACUGGGGUGAAGUCGUAACAAGGUAUC
rnacentral:rRNA from 1 species